rnacentral:rRNA from 1 species
UACGUAGGGUGCAAGCGUUGUCCGGAAUUAUUGGGCGUAAAGAGCUCGUAGGCGGUUUGUCGCGUCUGCUGUGAAAACUCGGGGCUUAACUCCGGGCCUGCAGUGGGUACGGGCAGACUAGAGUAUGGUAGGGGAGACUGGAAUUCCUGGUGUAGCGGUGAAAUGCGUUGAUAUCGAGAGGAACGCCGGUGGCGAAGGCGGCCUCCUGGCUCGAUACUGACGCUGAGGUGCGAAAGCGUGGGGAUCAAACAGG